rnacentral:rRNA from 1 species
UACGUAGGGGGCAAGCGUUGUCCGGAUUUAUUGGGCGUAAAGAGCUCGUAGGCGGCCUCAUAAGUCGGAUGUGAAAUCCCUCGGCUCAACCGAGGACGUGCAUCCGAAACUGUGAAGCUCGAGUAUGGAAGAGGGUCGCGGAAUUCCCGGUGUAGAGGUGAAAUUCGUAGAUAUCGGGAGGAACACCAGUGGCGAAGGCGGCGACCUGGGCCAAUACUGACGCUGAGGUGCGAAAGCGUGGGGAGCAAACAGG